UCGCGUUUUUCAGAUCGCGUUUUUCAGUUUUCUCCUCUCCUCUACCUCACUUCACGUUGAACCUCUCUCAGAUCUCGAUUUUGCUUCACUGCUUCUCAGCCUCUCUCAGAUCGCGAUUUGAUGGAUUGAAACCUCUCUCAGCGAUGGCGAACUCCAUUCUCAGAAGCAAAGCUCACGCAAAUCGCGUUCCAGAUUGAAGCUCAGUCAUGGAUUGAAGGAAUUAGGGCUUUUAGAUUUCAGAUUCACAUUCUCAUCUCUCUCUCUCUUGAACCUGCUGUGCCCUCGGUUCUCACUCAGAUUCUCGUAUUGGGUUUCAGUUUCUUCUCCUGGUAGCUUUGAUUGAAGGGCUCAGGCACUUGGAGCUAAAUUCACAUUUUACAAUUCCUUGUUGUGUGUACUGUGUACAGAAAAUGUCUGAAACGAAUGCCUUAAAUAGACAAAAACAAACUAUACCGCACACGCUUGGCACAAAGACCAUUGCAAGGAAGAGGCAUGAGCUCGCAAUUUGCUGGCAUCACAUUGGCUGAAUGGAAUGCCAUGAAAUCAGAAUUGCAGGAGAGCAAUGCGAAAUUUCAAGCUUUAGAGGAACGAAUGAAUUCUUUCAUGCAACAGUUUGGAGGUCAAGGGCCACCUAACCAGGUAUUGAAGCUUUAGAUUUCAAGUGUGUUCAUCUUGUUUCAAUGUUUCCCUAGCUCUUCACUGUUUUCUAUUUCUCUUUCACUCUUAUCUUUGUGACUGGACACUGGAAAAGUUGAUCAAUUUAUGGUGAUAAUGCUAAUGUGACCUUACUUCUAUUUUGUAGAGUUAAGUACAAGUCCAAUUUAUAAGUAAAAAUUUCCAAGAUUGUUGUAUGUGAUGUUUACUUCA